rnacentral:rRNA from 1 species
CCUACGGGAGGCUGCAGUGAGGAAUAUUGCUCAAUGGUCGGGAGACUGAACCAGCCAAGCCGCGUGAGGGAUGAAGGUACAGAGUAUCGUAAACCUCUUUUGUCAGGGAACAAAUGCGGGGACGUGUCCCCGGAUGAGUGUACCUGAAGAAAAAGCAUCGGCUACCUCCGUGCCAGCAGCCGCGGUAAUACGGAGGAUGCGAGCGUUAUCCGGAUUUAUGGGUUUUAAGGGGUGCGCAGGCGGGGUGUUAAGUCAGCGGUAAACGCCCGGGGCUCACCCCCGGCCCGCCGUGGAAACUGGCAGGCUAGAGUUGGAGAGAAGUAUGCGGAAUGCGCGGUGUAGCGGUGAAAUGCAUAGAUAUCGCGAAGAACUCCGAUUGCGAAGGCAGCAUGCCGGCUCCACACUGACGCUGAGGCACGAAAGCGUGGGUAUCGAACAGGAUUAGAUACCCGUGUAGUC